ACCCCACGCACGGAAAGACCCUGGAACAGGAAGCUCCCUCAGACCCGGAGAAAGUUGCUGUGAGCUGCAGGAGGCCGCGCUCCAGGAGACCUUUUGUGUGCGGGUUUUUGAGGACGCUGUCCAGGCCUCCAAGGCGACAGCCCACAGUUCAGGUGAUGGGAACCCGAGGUCUUGUUCUAAGUUGGAGUGAUGUGACUUAAAUGAGAUGAUUAGACAGUAGAUGAUUUGGAAGCGGAAAACGUGUAUCACACCAGUAGCAAGACAAUUACAAUGGCCGCAAGAAGACCCAGUGACAGCUUAACCUAGAAGAAUGAAACAGGAAUGGAGAAGUAAAGUCAAAUCGAUGUGGUUUAUGCCAGUUCCUCUCUCCCAGGAGACAGCCCCGCACCACACAACAUUUCGCUCAGCGGUGCGGCUGAGCACUGACAAACUCAAUCUGUGGAAGGAGCGGUCUGACAGCCCCAGGCUUGAGACUGUGUCUCUCCCAAGUACUCUGUCAUCCUGGUAACCAUGGAGACCAUGACGAUCGAUUAGAUGCCAUCUGAUCUCCACCUCAUAAAAAAAGGCAGCAGAUGGCAACCAGGCCACUAGACCUGUCUCAAGAGAGAUGAAGGGGAAGAGCAAGGGAAGGAAGGAGGAGAAAGGAGAGGAGGUGGGGGUGGGUGGGUGCAAGGAGAAGAGAGUGCACAGAAAUGUUAGAAACGGAUAGGGAAAUGUUAGAAAAGAGAACAAACAGAACCAGACAAACAAACAAAAAACAAGGAAAGCAGGAUAAGGGAAAGAGGAGACAAAAUGGAGAAAUGAAACCAAAACUCAACUGUGCCAUGGACCUCAUAGUGCGCUGUGGGAAGAAAAUCUGAAAAGGAAAAUCAGUCAGCUAUCCCCUAACUUUCUUCUACACAGGUCUCAAACAGUGGCAAAGAUGGUCACAGAACCUGAGCCACAGGGCUUCUCUGAGGACCCUUCACAACUGUGUCCUGUGGCUUUCUGUGACACCUGGAGUUUGAUGUACCCACAGGAGAAGUCUGAGACCUGGUUCUCAGAAUGAAUGCCCCUGAUUUAGGCGAGACCUUUCAGACAACUGGAUGAAGACCUACGAUAUGAUGUCUGUGGCUCCCUCUCCAGCAGUGUUUUGGUCAGACCUCAAAGAAAAAAGUGCUAAGUAGUUCUGCGGAGACCAAGAUGAGAAGAAGAGAAGGACUGUUACAUCAAUGCUGGUGGACAUGGGUGUGUUAGCCAGGCUCCCAGAGGAGUGUAACGGCUGACAUUCAUGAAGUGUGUCAGACACCGUUUAAAACAAGAGAAAAGAGAAACCACCUAUAAUCGCGUUAGUUUUACCAUAAGCAUGAUAUAUGUACAUGGGUUGUAUAAAAUGCAGCAUUUUAUGGAUAUGCACACAUGAUAUUUUAAGUAAAUACAGUACUAGAUUUUAAAUAUCAUUUGUUUAGCCUAUGCUUUUAGACAUUAUAUUAUGACCACUUUUCCAUGUUUAUUAAUUAUUCAAUCUUAUUUAAUGACAAUACAGCAUUCUACUUUUCCAUUAUGUAUUUAACUACUUCUUUAUUAUUGGACUUUCCUAGAAUUUUGCUACUAUAUAAUAAUACUAUGGUAACCAUUCUUAUAUGAGAGCCUUUCGGUGUUCCUCUUUGGCCUUAGGUAAAAACACAACUACUAAAUCAAAGAGUAUCGUUUCCUUCAAAGUUUUGAAGUUAAGUAUAACAUAUAUACAGUCAAGUGAAUA